ensembl:lncRNA
CCUGAACCGCGUGUCAUUAAAUGAACGCGCUGUUUGUUCUGGCGUCCUGACUCACGGACGGGUUUCACCUGAAGACUGAACACCUGCUGGGCCUCAUCGCUUACCUUGUUCUGAGAACACGAAGGAGGCCGCGGGGUCCUGGUGCUGGACUCAGAAGCACAGUUAAGGCUGCAUUUUCUGUCUGCAGAACAGCUCCGCGUUGUGCAACAAGGGGACAAUAUUUACAACAAGCGGUGACGAGAAGCAUCUCUCAACCUGUGCACACUUCAGGGGCCGCUCGACGGACAGAAAACACAGCGCUCAGAAUAUGCUCGGGAGGAUGUGCAACGGUCUUUUUCUAAAAUAAUCAUAAUAUACAAGAGCCUCCAUUUGUUGUCCCUCUUUACAGAAAGCAGCAGGAUCGAAAGAAAUAAAAAAACCCAAAAUAAACAAAGAAAACCGAGUAACUCAAAGAUGCACAUUUGGAC